UUUGCUCUCUAAUUGGCGUCUGACUUUUGACAGUAUCUGUUCUUAUCAGUUUAAUAUCCGAUGUGUCCUCUAUUUGAGGACUAUAUUUUAAAUGGAUUUUUGGGUCUGGGAGAUGGAAUUGAGGCUUGCUCCAUGCACUCCACACAUCGACCUGGCAUUGCAGUGCUUCCAGGAACAGUGCAUCAAAA
ensembl:snRNA U2 U2 spliceosomal RNA